GCUAGAACAGGGUGUCUCGGUUCCGGUGGGGAUCAGCCACCGGAGGUAACGGGGAAAGAUGGUGAAAUUCCAUCGCUGUCCCGCAGCUGUGAACCAUCGGCCCAGGCCGGAUGGCAGUCAGAACGCCCGCCGGGGUUUCCAUCGACGA
rnacentral:ncRNA from 2 species